CACGAUCUUCGGGGCAGGGUGAAAUUCCCGAUCGGCGGUGAUGUGCAGCAUGCUGCACCAGCCCGCGAGCCGAAAGGCAGGAGACCGGUGCGAAGCCGGCGCCGACGGUUACAGUCCGGAUGGGAGAAGAUCGGC
rnacentral:ncRNA from 2 species